GGGUUGUGAGGUUAAGCGACUAAGCGUACACGGUGGAUGCCCUGGCAGUCAGAGGCGAUGAAGGACGUGCUAAUCUGCGAUAAGCGUCGGUAAGGUGAUAUGAACCGUUAUAACCGGCGAUUUCCGAAUGGGGAAACCCAGUGUGUUUCGACACACUAUCAUUAACUGAAUCCAUAGGUUAAUGAGGCGAACCGGGGGAACUGAAACAUCUAAGUACCCCGAGGAAAAGAAAUCAACCGAGAUUCCCCCAGUAGCGGCGAGCGAACGGGGAGCAGCCCAGAGCCUGAAUCAGUGUGUGUGUUAGUGGAAGCGUCUGGAAAGGCGCGCGAUACAGGGUGACAGCCCCGUACACAAAAAUGCACAUGCUGUGAGCUCGAUGAGUAGGGCGGGACACGUGGUAUCCUGUCUGAAUAUGGGGGGACCAUCCUCCAAGGCUAAAUACUCCUGACUGACCGAUAGUGAACCAGUACCGUGAGGGAAAGGCGAAAAGAACCCCGGCGAGGGGAGUGAAAAAGAACCUGAAACCGUGUACGUACAAGCAGUGGGAGCACGCUUAGGCGUGUGACUGCGUACCUUUUGUAUAAUGGGUCAGCGACUUAUAUUCUGUAGCAAGGUUAACCGAAUAGGGGAGCCGAAGGGAAACCGAGUCUUAACUGGGCGUUAAGUUGCAGGGUAUAGACCCGAAACCCGGUGAUCUAGCCAUGGGCAGGUUGAAGGUUGGGUAACACUAACUGGAGGACCGAACCGACUAAUGUUGAAAAAUUAGCGGAUGACUUGUGGCUGGGGGUGAAAGGCCAAUCAAACCGGGAGAUAGCUGGUUCUCCCCGAAAGCUAUUUAGGUAGCGCCUCGUGAAUUCAUCUCCGGGGGUAGAGCACUGUUUCGGCAAGGGGGUCAUCCCGACUUACCAACCCGAUGCAAACUGCGAAUACCGGAGAAUGUUAUCACGGGAGACACACGGCGGGUGCUAACGUCCGUCGUGAAGAGGGAAACAACCCAGACCGCCAGCUAAGGUCCCAAAGUCAUGGUUAAGUGGGAAACGAUGUGGGAAGGCCCAGACAGCCAGGAUGUUGGCUUAGAAGCAGCCAUCAUUUAAAGAAAGCGUAAUAGCUCACUGGUCGAGUCGGCCUGCGCGGAAGAUGUAACGGGGCUAAACCAUG
rnacentral:rRNA from 1 species